GACGAACGCUGGCGGCGUGCUUAACACAUGCAAGUGGUGCGACGAACCAGGCUUCGGCCUGGGGCAAAGCCGCGAACGGGUGAGUAACACGUGAGUAAUCUGCCCCGAUGACCGGGACAACCCGAGGAAACUCGGGCUAAUACCGGAUGAUGAGCCUUGGCGUAAGCCUUGUCUCUAAAGGAAGCUUCGGCCUCCGCAUCGGGUGGAGCUCGCGGCCCAUUAGCUUGUUGGUGGGGUAAUGGCCUACCAAGGCAACGAUGGGUAGCUGGUCUGAGAGGACGAUCAGCCACACUGGGACUGAGACACGGCCCAGACUCCUACGGGAGGCAGCAGUGGGGAAUCUUGCGCAAUGCGCGAAAGCGUGACGCAGCAACGCCGCGUGGGGGAAGACGGCCUUCGGGUUGUAAACCCCUUUCAGGAGGGACGAAGGUUCGCCGGUGAAUAGCCGUGCGGAUUGACGGUACCUCCACAAGAAGCUCCGGCUAACUACGUGCCAGCCGCCGCAGUAACAC
rnacentral:rRNA from 1 species